rnacentral:rRNA from 1 species
CUCUUGACAUCCAGAGAACUUGGCAGAGAUGCCUCGGUGCCUUCGGGAACUCUGAGACAGGUGCUGCAUGGCUGUCGUCAGCUCGUGUUGUGAAAUGUUGGGUUAAGUCCCGCAACGAGCGCAACCCCCUAUCCUUUGUUGCCAGCGAUUCGGUCGGGAACUCAAAGGAGACUGCCGGUGAUAAACCGGAGGAAGGUGGGGAUGACGUCAAGUCAUCAUGGCCCUUACGAGUAGGGCUACACACGUGCUACAAUGGCGUAUACAAAGAGAAGCGACCUCGCGAGAGCAAGCGGACCUCAUAAAGUACGUCGUAGUCCGGAUUGGAGUCUGCAACUCGACUCCAUGAAGUCGGAAUCGCUAGUAAUCGUAGAUCAGAAUGCUACGGUGAAUACGUUCCCGGGCCUUGUACACACCGCCCGUCACACCAUGGGAGUGGGUUGCAAAAGAAGUAGAUAGCUUAACCUUCGGGAGGGCGUUUACCACUUUGUGAUUCAUGACUGGGGUGAAGUCGUAACAAGGUAGGCGUACGUGU